UACGUAGGGUGCAAGCGUUAAUCGGAAUUACUGGGCGUAAAGCGUGCGCAGGCGGUUAUAUAAGACAGUUGUGAAAUCCCCGGGCUCAACCUGGGAACUGCAUCUGUGACUGUAUAGCUAGAGUACGGUAGAGGGGGAUGGAAUUCCGCGUGUAGCAGUGAAGUGCGUAGAUAUGCGGAGGAACACCGAUGGCGAAGGCAAUCCCCUGGACCUGUACUGACGCUCAUGCACGAAAGCGUGGGGAGCAAACAGG
rnacentral:rRNA from 1 species